GACGAACGCUGGCGGCGUGCUUAACACAUGCAAGUCGAGCGGUAAGGCCCUUUCGGGGGUACACGAGCGGCGAACGGGUGAGUAACACGUGGGCGACCUACCCUCAGCUUCGGGAUAAGCCUGGGAAACUGGGUCUAAUACCGGAUAUGACUGCGCAUCGCAUGGUGUGUGGUGGAAAGUUCCUGGCCUUUGGGUUGGGUUCGGUUGGGGAUGGGCCCGCGGCCUAUCAGCUUGUUGGUGGGGUGANGGCCUACCAAGGCGACGACGGGUAGCCGGCCCGAGAGGGCGUCCGGCCACACUGGGACUGAGACACGGCCCAGACUCCUACGGGAGGCAGCAGUGGGGAAUAUUGCGCAAUGGGCGGAAGCCUGACGCAGCGACGCCGCGUGGGGAUGACGGCCUCGG
rnacentral:rRNA from 1 species